CUCCAUUGAUGACCUCCAUUUUGUGCCACGUGUCUGGGCCACUGAUCUCAAGUGAUGGAUAUGAGGAACUGAGGAG